rnacentral:rRNA from 1 species
AGCUCCAAUAGCGUAUAUUAAAGUUGCUGCAGUUAAAAAGCUCGUAGUUGGAUUUCUGGCUUGGUUCGCCUGGCCCGCCACGGUUACGUGUGUGAGUGCCGGUGUGGAUCUGCCAUCAUUCUAGGUCACAUUCAUACUCUUCAUUGAGCCGUGAAUGCUAUCUAGAUCUUUUACUUUGAAAAAAUUAGAGUGUUUCAAGCAGGCUUUUGCUAUGAAUACAUUAGCAUGGAAUAAUAAUUUAGGACUUCGGUUCUAUUUUGUUGGUUUCUAGAAUGGAAGUAAUGAUUGAUAGGGAUAGUUGGGGGUGCUAGUAUUCAGCGGCCAGAGGUGAAAUUCUCGGAUUCGCUGAAGACUAACUUAUGCGAAAGCAUUCACCAAGGAUGUCUUCU